rnacentral:sRNA from 1 species
UUGCGCAAUAGCCUUGUAUGUGAGCAAUCUUCGCAAUCCUCCUGCAGCGUUGGGCCCGUAAGAUCUCUCCCAAGAAUCACGGCCCGGACAGCACGUCCACGGCGAUCCACCCAAUCAGGCGGAUCGCGGCCCGCCGACCCCACAGGGGCGCCCCCGCCACCGGGCUACGCACUACCCAGAAGGUGGAGCGAGGUGAGCCGGCGCCAACAGCGACGAGCCAGGACGAGUUUCCCGAAGGGAGGUCAAUGACCUCCCU